GUGUCGUACUUGUGGUGGAAGAUUUUUCGUGAAAUUAUUCAAAAUUAUUAAAAGAUCUGUGAAUUUAGAUAGUGUUUUCCAUGUGUAUCAAUUAGACGUGUCUUCAGUUCUUUAUGGCUGAUAAAGAUUACGUACCUAAUGCGAAAAUUUGGACCCCGGUAUCUUGGUUAUAAGUCGUACAAUUUGAAACGAUGUUUGUCGGAGAUGGCUCUUUGGAGGUUAUACAUACUGCGUCUAGAGGGCUGUAACAGUACUGAUUGCUUCGGUUGCCGCCCAUUGACGAAGGAGGAACGUCCGUUCGUUGGAAGCAGCCCAUUGUACCUCGACGUUUUCUAGUCAUCGCGAUUUAAAUUAUGCUCGCUCGUCGCAUGCUCUUGAUUCUCCUACUGCUCGUCGAACCAACUCGUUACGUCCCAUCCACUAUGAAAUUUAAUCGAUUCGUCGAACAAUUCUCCACUGCUAACUAGGGUGUUAAGUGGUUCGAGCUUCAACCUCUGGACAUAGUGCUUUUUCUUGGACCUGCAACCGACGACUCUUCAGCAUUCGCGUCAAGAAAAUUGCUGUUAAGAGGAAUGGAAAGUCGACUUGGUUCUUGUAGAUUCGAAACGCUUAUUCAUGGACGUAUCCGAGCCUCGAUCGUCCGACGAUGAAUCCUGCGACUGUUCGGAUUGACUCUUUUAUCUCGACGGCCGAAUCUCCCAUGGACCCAUGGCUCCUAAAACAAAUGAAUCCACUCGGAGCGAACCGGAUGAACAGAAUGACGCGAUAAAAGGGACGAAAGCAACCGCGCCGGGGAACAUUGAUCACCUUUCAGCAGCGUCGCCACUCAACGGGUUAAAAACAUCCUAUCAUCGAUACGAUCCGUCCCGUUCGAUCGGAAAGAAGCGUCGCAAAGCGUAUUUCCAAAGAACCGAACCGUCAGAAAAACGUGGAAGAGGGAACAAACUGACGGCUGCGUCGAUGCUCGACGGUCCAGAAUGUUGGUGGCUUUUUAGGACAGCUAGUCGGGAGAGGGGGUGAGGGACGACGAUGCCAGUACAACUAACGACGUGGCAGGUCGAGUAAAUCAGGAGGGAGAGUGACGAUAAGUUUUUGCUCGUUACAACCGGCCUGGGAAGCUCAUUACCCGGCUCCCUCUAACCCCGAACAGAAGGGUGAGGAACGACAGAAAAGAGUAGGUGGGGGAGGAGAAGGCAGCGUGGAAGCAGCCUUCGACCUUUCACCCCCCAAACAGCCGACCAAAAGUUUUACGCGAUGCUCGGUCCCAGCUUUUCGCUGAAAAACUACACGGUUUUCGCAACGUCCGGUUGCCAGGAACACAGGUGACAAAAAUAGAAAAACUCUGUUUCACCUGCUCCGCUAAUGGACCUCCCUAAAUUUGGAAAAAGCGUUGACGCGUUUGCUGUUACCGUUGAACUUUUUCGCGCAGCUACUUGAAAAUCAGAGGAAAGGUUAGUCAAUUCGAUCGGGCAGCUCUGCUUUAAGGCAAACAUCGAUCGUUCGGCCGACAAUUAGCGGGCCAAUCGAAUGGAAACAUUCUCCGCGUCUACUCUGCGGUCUGGAUAACAUUUUUCUGCGGCUCACCACGGAUUUCGCGAUUGGACGUGCCGAGCAAAUGGAGCUUUGCGCGGCCGAUCGGAAUUCUGACACGGAUCGUGGUGAGUCGCGUUUUCGAGGCAUUAGAACCCUUUUGUUACGCGCGCUGGUAAUUAGCACCGCGCGAAGGGAUGGCUGAGUGUCUAGUUAAGUGUAAGAAGAGAGUUACGAUGUGUUUGCUGGUGGUAACCUAUAAUAUUACAUUCACGAUUUCAACGGAAUCUCCAUAAAGUCCGAAAUUACAGGAAACACUCUGGAAUUCGUAAAAAGACGAACAGGAAACCGGGACAAUUUUAACGAGUUAUAAGGUGUCGAGAAAGUAGUUACACGUAACGACGAUAUAAACCGUUUCACUGGAACGAUACGUUCGAAAUAUUUGCCAUUAAUCUUCGCGCGCGGAACAAGAGGGAGCAACACGUUUUAGGGGGGCGCAUCGCGUUUAUGUACGUACAAUAUCACGCUCUUCAGCUCCUACUUAACGCGUUGAAGAGCGACGCGAGCUUCACUGACUGGCACACAGACGCGAGCGCAAUAAAAAUCUCCGGCGAAACUUGGCGAAACUGAAAUGUCCCCAGGGAACUUUACGAAGGCGUCGUGGCAAUUUCCAAAAGCGACAUAAACGUCGAAAGCGUCGUUAUCUUUCGCGAGUGUCGUAAACGGGAGCGUCGACUGCCACGACGAUGUAAACAUCCGUUUCGCGGGGUGUCCCGCGCUCGCUUAUUCUCUCCGCGAGAUCGAACCGACGAUCCCCGUCGCGCGUAGAUCCGAAUCGUCGGGUGUUCGAGACCCGGGGACUAAUUGACCGUGUCGAGGAACUCAUUAAAAGUGCGGCCGGAACUCGAGACGUCGGUGGCUCGUAACGAGUGCUGUAAUUUGAGCUGGAUCCGUCCAUGUGCCGUGUAAACGUCGCUGCUAUAUAAUAUCUUAAUCCUCCGGCCACUCGGAGUUCCACUUUCGAGGAACCCCGUAAUAAAGGAUCUUCGAACGGACCGAGGGAGAUCUUGGUUCGCUGGAGAUUGGCCUCCCUUCAUGAUUACCGGGGAUCAUUGUUUCUGAUGUUGCAGUUGGGAAGAGAAUUUGUGGAACGUUGAUGAGGAUCCAUAGAAAGGGUAAGUCUGUACAAAGUGUCUAUUCUAAUAAUAUUGAUUACACUCUGAAUUCUUGAACUAUUGUGUCUAUUAUAACAUUUUUAUCAAUCAUCUGCAACAUCGUGUCACACUCGUGAAUUUACAGUUCAGAUAUGUCUUUAGCUGGUGGAAUUUUGAGUUUAAUUCUAAUUUUAAUUUGCUCAGUCAAGAAUCGUUGAAUAAUAUUUCAUUCUUCUCUAUUUGUUUUAAAAUCGAAGCAAUGAAUAGUUAGCUCUGAUUGACACAGCUAUCGAACAAAUCAUUGACGAAGUGGCUAAUAUUCUAAUUAAUAAAUUCUAACGCGAAAUCUCAAAGUCGGGUAUGUUCAAGUCCAUUCGAUUUUACCAGCACGAGGGAAAUUAAUUGAUUUAUCGAGUCCUCGUCGCCGGAGGAGUAGAAGUUUUGUUUAUCGCGUAACGGAUGAGUUUCCCCAGCUUCGUCGUGUCUCGUCGACGAAAGUAAUCGGCUUAUCCGAGUGGCUUCGUUAGAUCGGCGAAAAGUUCGUUCCCAGGCGAGUUGCCAUGUCGAGUUUUUCCAUCGAUGGGAUCGCCCACGGCUCCGUGGAUGGACGAAACGAAUCGACGACAAGCAGGCAAGCAAGCAAGCACCAGGGACCCGCCACACGGAAAGAGAAAGUUGUCGUUGGUUGGAAAACUAUGGUUUCCAUGGUAGUCGCGGUCGCAUCGAUUACGCAGCUGUCAGGGCUCCGUAUGUAAAGAUGACCUCCAUAACAUCCCCGAUACGUAAUAUUAUCUCCUCGGCUUGUACAACCGUAGUAGUAGUAGUCGUGUCGUGUCAACGUCCGUCCGACGGACCAGACCACCGCUUGUGAAAGACGAUAUUCGAUUGAGUAAUCGAUUGCUCGUGGACGCGGACGUGGAAGUUUGCGCGUGCGGAAUUCUGCAGGAGGAACUGGUGUGCAUCGAUCUUCGAUCCGUGUCACGUUUCUUCAACUAUUUCCUGGAUCGAAUCGAUGACUGUUCUACUGGUUAAUUAGAGAAAUUAACGCUCGAGAAGUCUGACGUCGAGGAUGUAUCGAAGUGUAAUGAUUGUGUUAUUAGUUCUAUUAAUAAUUUAAAUGUAAUCUUCUACGAAUUUUCUUUUACGUGGAAAAAUUCGUAGAACCCAGUCGGUUAAUUACAGAAUCAAGAAAUAAAUCGUCGGUGGUGAAGGGAUAGCGAGGGAAAUAGUGGAAGUCGCAGGUGCUCGUUCGCUAUCCGGAAACCAUUGUUUUCCCAUAACCCGUUCGUAACUGCUGGCGCCUCGUAUGUUUCUUUAGGAUCGAACCGUGGUAUUCCAAACGACGUCGGCAUCGAGACGCUCGCGUUUCAUGUGGACUCGACGUAAGACAACAAACAGACAGCUUCCUGCCGUGAAAAGCGGUUGUACUCCUGCCAGAAGAGAUCCUUUCUAUGCCACCCUGGCGAAAUUUUUCCUGCGCUGUUAUCCUUGCGCUAGGCUGCUAAUGUAAAAUGCGUUUCAACGUGCAUUUUUAUUCCUACGUAACUCUAAAAAAGAAAUUUUCAACUUGAAUCCCUACCACACCCGACUUCCUCCUGCUCGGUCGCUACUUUUAACCCUUAAGAAAGGGAGGAUGAAGCGAAAAUUUUUUAAUCUAAUGUUGAAACGGUUAAACUCUACUCAGGAAGUCUUUAAAAACAUAAUUAAGUAGAAGCAGAUUUUAGAGAGUUCAAAACUGCAAUUGCAACUUUUUUAAUCUACUUUUUAAAAUUUAUAGAGCGGUAAGAAAGGGUAAGGUAUGUAAUAUAAAACUGUUACACUUUUUAUUUAUAUAUUAUUUAUUUCAUAGCACUUAAGAUAAAUUAACAACCAGAAAUUAAUAAACAACGACGAAGAGGAACGUUUUACUAUCCAUCCCCUUCAAAUCCAUGGUUCCUUCACAUUUUUAACAUUCAGCAAGUAAACGGAAGAGUAAGGUACAUAAUAUAAAACUAUUACACUUUUUAUUUUUAUAUUAUUUAUUUCAUAGCACUUAAGAUAAAUUAACAGCCAGAAAUUAAUAAACAACGACGGAAAGGAACGUUUUACUAUCCAUCCCCUUCAAAUCCAUGGUUCCUUCACAUUUUUAACAUUCAGCAAAUUAUAUCAGCAAGUAAACGGAAGAGUAAGGUACAUAAUAUAAAACUAUUACACUUUUUAUUUUUAUAUUAUUUAUUUCAUAGCACUACAGAAAUUAAUAAACAACGACGAAGAGGAACGUUUUACUAUCCAUCCCCUUCGAACUCCUGGUUUCUUCACAUUUUUAACAUUCAGCAAACACACUAGCCAUAUAUCAGCAAGUAAACGGAAGAAUCCUCGUUUCACAGAAAUUCCCAUAGACCGUGCUCAUCCUUAUCUGUCCCGGAAAAUCUCGCGGACCCGAGGGAAAAUCAAUAGGAAAUCUCUCCCCUGCUUCCUCGAGCCGUCCCUCAUUAUCGCACCUCGUCGACACGGUUGGAUGUUUACCUGAGGAUGCUCGCGACGCGUUACGAGCGGAAGCGUUCGUUUGGCGCGGAGAUAGCCGGAAGGAAUCGUGGCGGUCGUCUUAAACAGAGAUUAACAGGGACAUCGAUCAAGCGGGUGUAGACGAUGUCUCAGGGGAGGGCCACUUCUCGUGCUCGGUAAACAGCGGUUUACCACGGGGAUCACGUUUCCUUGGACGGGACCACACCCGGCAGCCUCUUCGUGUUUGCACUGUACGUUAGUCGGUCCUCAAGUGCACGUGGGCCACGCACGUGCGUAUUCCCCGCGAACACGAAGCUUCCUGCCGCGAUAACCGUCCCAGAUAGCGUCACCGAUGCCAUACGCGACCCAUGAAUUCCUCCUCGAGUCCGCGUACCUGCCAGGACGAUCGUGAGGGUCCUAGGAUUCCACGGGAAUACAAAUACGACCGAGGGUGCUUUCCUUGUAUUCUUUUUCCCUUCGGAUUUCUCGGUUUUCCCUCGGAUUUUCUUUUUUUUUUUAUCGGCUACCGGUGUCGUAUUCGAGGGGAUCCUUGCAGCUGGUGCUUGACGCGUUCUACGGUAAUUCAUUAACUCUGUUUCGCUUUUUUUCUCUCGGAUCGCUAGACGUGGAUGGAAGUCGAAACGAUUGGGUCGUGUCACGUGGCUCGAGGAAAUAAUUUAGUGACUGCAUAUCGACGUUGUCUGGUAAUGGAUUUUCUUGCAGCCCGCUGGGAUCGUACAAAGUGGGUCCUUCCGGACUUCUCCCGGGAGAGCAGCUAAGGCCAAAGGGGGUGAAUCGCGGAAGGAGGAUUCCGAUUCUUCGCUGCCGGAUUCAACUGAUCUGAAAGUAUAAGAACGGCACAGCGGUUUGCUGUCGUUUUUACUCAGGAAAUGUCGUACCCUACGGAAUAUCGCCGAUUUACGGACUGGAAUGGGAGCAUAAUAAAACGGAGCAUCUGUAAGAAUGCACCGUUUGCACAUACGUUAGAAAUUUGCGUUCACCGAGCCAUCAAUAACUCAGAAGUAAAUUUAAAUAUUUUUUCACCGUCUCCCAUUAAAAAAUCCAAUUUAGAACCCUUCUAGAUCUUAAAAUUCCGCGUGUACCGGCCCAGUGUCGCUCGGGGAUACAAGGACGGUUCUCAACGUUCCAUCGUCGAUCGUCAACGUCCAUGCAUUCCUAGGCGUCUGCUAACGCGAAUGAUGGCUAGCAAGGAUCAAAACAACGUCGUAGUCCUUGGAGCUGUCUCUAUCUAUCCGUCGGAUGCCGAACGGUCCAAGGAUGAAAUUAGAGUAGACAGCCGUGUUGUACGGAAGCUGGUGUCCAUGAGAGUUAAUCCUUUCGUGUCUGACUUAAUAUUCACGAAGAAUUUUGAAUCGAUCUACAGACGAUUGUGUUAUGAAAGGGUCAGUGUCCUCCCCCGAGGUUCAGCCGUAGUUGAGCUAUCAGAAUCCAACGAAUGCAAGCGUCCAGUCCUGAAACAGGGCGGGGAUCAGAAUUCGUGGUGGCCCACGUACAGUCGAAAUACGUGGUCGUUCGUCGAGGAAGCUCGCGAGUAACUUCUUCCGGCGUGGUACCGGAUGAUCGAGCACACGUUCCAGAAGCCGAGGAACUCGAUCCGCUCGGAGAGGACAUUCGGAUCGGUUGGUAGCCGGCGCAUGCCUGGCGCUCGUCAGAUUGCUCGAGCACAUUCGAGGCAACCGCAAAUCGAUAAGCGGUUAUCGUCGCGUUCGAGCUGAACCGUGUCUGGUUCUUCGUGGACCCAAAGUGUUCCUGUAACUCUUCUUUCGUGAACCCACUUCGCCGCGUAUCGCUCGAGCACGCCGAUAACGCGCCAGGUACACGCUCGACCAGGCCAGACUGCAAGGGAAGGAAGAAGCGAUAAACCGAACCGGAUGCUCGGCGCUGCAGGAAGGCAGCACUUUGACAGUGAACCGAAUGCUGGUCGCGAUGACGAAGGGGAACGCCAUGGCUGAUCGGGCACCGUUGUCAACCGCAGAGCAAAGUAAAAUCCACUCAGUCUUAUAGCGACCGCCGAGAGGUGUGGAUCUUCCUGUUAAACAUAUAUAUACUUUUAUUUCAUUUUCUACGUUUAUUCAAUUUGCUGUAUGUGUCUUCUUAGCUUAUUGAAUAUACUCAUUAGAGGGAUAACUUGAUGACUUUAUUUCACCUGUGAACCUCGCUUCGCUAUCCUCUUAUUUAUUGUUUCACUCCUAUUUGUUGGCCUCGCGAGGACCACUUUCACCUAAGUAAUUUAUUAUUUUUUUUGUCUUUGGGGGCCUCACAGCGUCAGCCCUAUAUUCCUAUAUCCCAGCAUCUCUUACAUCUCUCCAAACCUUACACCCCUGUACCCUUUAUAUCUUUGCAUUCGUUACAUAUCGGCACUUCGUAUAUCCCUGCAUCCCUUGCAUCUCUGCAUUCCUCACGUCUUUGCUUCCUUUAUAUCCC